ensembl:misc_RNA Metazoa_SRP Metazoan signal recognition particle RNA
GCCAGGUGUGGUGGCUCACGCCUGUAAUCCCAAUUCUUUGGGAGGCCGAGGCAGGUGGAUCACCUGAGGUCAGGAGUUCGAGAACAGCCUGGCCAACAUGGUGAAACCUGUCUCUA